UCCUGGGUGGCCGAAUGGUAAGGCAGCGGACUGUUAAUCCGCCGGGGGAAACCCUGUGUAGGUUCGAUUCCUACCCCAGGAGCCA
rnacentral:tRNA from 1 species